rnacentral:rRNA from 1 species
GUAGGGAAUAUUGGACAAUGGGCGAAAGCCUGAUCCAGCCAUGCCGCGUGAGUGAUGAAGGCCUUAGGGUUGUAAAGCUCUUUUGUCCGGGAAGAUAAUGACUGUACCGGAAGAAUAAGCCCCGGCUAACUUCGUGCCAGCAGCCGCGGUAAUACGAAGGGGGCUAGCGUUGUUCGGAAUCACUGGGCGUAAAGCGCACGUAGGCGGACCAUUAAGUCAGGGGUGAAAGCCUGGAGCUCAACUCCAGAACUGCCUUUGAUACUGAUGGUCUCGAGUAUGGAAGAGGUUGGUGGAACUGCGAGUGUAGAGGUGAAAUUCGUAGAUAUUCGCAAGAACACCGGUGGCGAAGGCGGCCAACUGGUCCAUUACUGACGCUGAGGUGCGAAAGCGUGGGGAGCAAACAGGAUUAGAUACCCGGGUAGUCC